UAUAAUAAAUUGACAAUUGCGAUUUAUAUGUUGUCUUUGAAAUUAAUAAUAUUUGUCCUUAUAACUUUUGAAAAAAUCCACACAUUAUAUAGUUGGAUCAUUGGAUGCACGUUUCUACAAGUCCCUCCUACUGUUCUACAAUUAUUUGUAAUGAUAGUAAUAAUUUGUUAUUUGUGCCUGACAGUCUUUUUAAUCAUGUUUUACUGUUAAAUAAAGGACAUGCUAGCUAGAAUUUCUAUUUCUGGAACAUUUAAAGGAAAAGUUUCUGUAUCUGCGCUAAGAAAUAUUCAAAGUUAUUCUCCUGUGAUGUCUAAAUUUGAUCUGCCGGAUCGCUUGAAAGGCAAUGAAAAAUCAGUAUGGGUUGAGUAUAUUCAGCUUGCUUUAAAGCAUAAGCCAUUAAACUUGGGACAAGGUUUCCCAGAUUUUCAUGCUCCUGAAAAUGUAACAAAGGCUUUAGCUGCUACAGCUACAAGUGAUAAUCCUCUUUUAAAUCAAUAUACAAGAGGAUUUGGUCAUCCACGUUUAGUAAAUGUCAUUGCAAAAUUGUACUCUAAACUUCUAAAUCGUACUUUAGAUCCACAAAAUGAAAUUCUUGUAACUGUUGGGGCUUAUCAAGCAUUAUAUGCUACAUUACAAGGUCACACAAACCCUGGUGAUGAGUGGAUAAUUAUUGAACCUUUCUUUGAUUGUUAUGUACCUAUGGUUCAAACUGCAGGUGGAGUUCCAAGAUUCAUUGCUUUAAAACCAAAAAGUUCAAAUGGACCUCUUAGUUCAUCAGAUUGGGUAUUUGACAAACAGGAGUUGGAGAGCCUUUUUAAUGAAAAAACUAAAGGAAUAAUAAUUAAUACCCCGCAUAAUCCUGUAGGAAAAGUAUUUACUCUAGAUGAAUUACAGUUUAUUGCUAAUUUAGCUAAAAAAUGGAAUACUCUGGUGGUAUCAGAUGAGGUGUACGAAUGGCUCGUUUACGAACCAUAUAAACAUAUUAGAAUCGCUACGCUACCCGAUAUGUAUGAGCGCACAAUAACCAUAGGAUCUGCUGGUAAAACAUUCAGUGUUACUGGAUGGAAAUUAGGAUGGGCCUAUGGUCCAGCACAUUUACUAUAUAAUUUACGAGUUGUUCAUCAAAAUUGUGUGUAUACUUGUAAUACACCAGUCCAAGAAGCAGUAGCGAUUGGGUUUGAACAAGAAUUGGAAAGAUUUGGUCAACCGGAUUGCUACUUUGUUAGUUUAGCUAAGGAACUGCAGCCAAAGCGGGAUUACAUGGCGACGUUCCUUAGCGACGUAGGAAUGUCUCCAACAAUUCCAGAAGGUGGAUAUUUUAUGGUUGCCAAUUGGACGGCUCUGAAAGAUAAGGUUAAAUUAGAAGAAGAAACAGAUGAGAAUAAAGAUUAUCGGUUUACAAAGUGGAUGACGAAAAAUGUCGGAGUUCAAGGAAUACCACCGUCCGCAUUUUACAGUCGUGAACAUAAACACUUGGGGGAGGACAACGUACGAUAUUGUUUCAUAAAGAAAGAUGAAAAUCUAAAACAGGCAGCUGAAAUCUUAAUGAAAUGGAAAUCUCAGCAAUAGUGAUUAAUACAGAAGAAACUACAGCUCAUUAAUAUAUUUAAAUAUAGUGCCAUAUAUUUUUGGAAUAUUAUUUAGAUUUUAAGCAUGGAUUAUUGUACAAUGACACAUACACAUUUUACGGAGAAAAUUCACCACGAAGCCAUCGUUUUGCGUCCUUAGUGUCUGCUCCGAAGGUUUUACCGAACCUGAACACAACAAAUUUUCAAAUAAAACGAUACUCUUUCAAAA